rnacentral:rRNA from 1 species
UACGAAGGGUGCAAGCGUUACUCGGAAUUACUGGGCGUAAAGCGUGCGUAGGUGGUUCGUUAAGUCUGAUGUGAAAGCCCUGGGCUCAACCUGGGAAUGGCAUUGGAUACUGGCGACCUAGAGUGCGGUAGAGGGGUGUGGAAUUCCCGGUGUAGCAGUGAAAUGCGUAGAUAUCGGGAGGAACAUCUGUGGCGAAGGCGACACCCUGGACCAGCACUGACACUGAGGCACGAAAGCGUGGGGAUCAAACAGG